rnacentral:rRNA from 1 species
UACGUAGGGUGCGAGCGUUGUCCGGAAUUAUUGGGCGUAAAGAGCUCGUAGGCGGCUUGGCAAGUCGGGUGUGAAAACUUCAGGCUCAACCUGGAGCGGCCACUCGAUACUGCCAUGGCUUGAGUCCGGUAGGGGACCACGGAAUUCCUGGUGUAGCGGUGAAAUGCGCAGAUAUCAGGAGGAACACCUGUGGCGAAAGCGGCUCACUGGACCACAACUGACGCUGAGGCGCGAAAGCUAGGGGAGCAAACAGG